rnacentral:rRNA from 1 species
AUUGAACGCUGGCGGCAGGCCUAACACAUGCAAGUCGAACGGUAACAGGAAGCAGCUUGCUGCUUCGCUGACGAGUGGCGGACGGGUGAGUAAUGUCUGGGAAGCUGCCUGAUGGAGGGGGAUAACUACUGGAAACGGUAGCUAAUACCGCAUAAUGUCGCAAGACCAAAGAGGGGGACCUUCGGGCCUCUUGCCAUCGGAUGUGCCCAGAUGGGAUUAGCUUGUUGGUGGGGUAACGGCUCACCAAGGCGACGAUCCCUAGCUGGUCUGAGAGGAUGACCAGCCACACUGGAACUGAGACACGGUCCAGACUCCUUCGGGAGGCAGCAGUGGGGAAUAUUGCACAAUGGGCGCAAGCCUGAUGCAGCCAUGCCGCGUGUAUGAAGAAGGCCUUCGGGUUGUAAAGUACUUUCAGCGGGGAGGAAGGGAGUAAAGUUAAUACCUUUGCUCAUUGACGUUACCCGCAGAAGAAGCACCGGCUAACUCCGU